rnacentral:rRNA from 1 species
CCUACGGGAGACAGCAGUGAGGAAUAUUGGUCAAUGGACGCAAGCCUGAACCAGCCACGCCGCGUGAAGGAAGACGGCCCUAUGAGUUGUAAACUGCUUUUGUAAGAGGGUAAACGCAGAUACGCGUAUAUGUCUGAAAGUACCGUACGAAUAAGGAUCGGCUACCUCCGUGCCAGCAGCCGCGGUAAAACGGAGGAUUCAAGCGUUAUCCGGAUUUAUUGGGUUUAAAGGGUGCGUAGGCGGUCUGAUAAGGUAGAGGUGAAAUCCCGCGGCUCAACUUCGGAAUUGCCUUUGAUACUGUUCGUCUAGAGUGUAGUUGCGGUAGGCGUAAUUUCUGGUGUAGCGGUGACAUGCUUCGAUAUCAUGCAGAACUCCGAUUGCGAAGGCAGCUUACCGGCGCCCAACUGACGCUGAUGCACGAAAGCGUGGGUAUCAAACAGGAUUAGAUACCCGGGUAGUC